ensembl:rRNA 5S_rRNA 5S ribosomal RNA
GUCUACAGCCAUACCACCCUGAACAUGUCUGAUCUCAGAAGCUAAGCAGGGUUGGGCCUGGUUAGUACUUGGAUGGGAGAGAUUAUCCCUAGUUUGUUUGUU